rnacentral:misc_RNA from 1 species
UCUCCGUUGGUGAACCAGCGGAGGGAUCAUUACCAUCGUUGUACCACUCCCAACCCUCCUGGGAACCCACCUAUCACUGCUUCCGCGGACCCGCCCCAGCGUCCGGACGGCCCCGCGCCGGCCCGCGCCCCGGACCCCGGCGGCCGCCGGCGCCACCACAAGCCUGUCUCCAUCAGUCUUUCUGAAUCCGCCGCAAGGCAAAACAAGCGAAUCAAAACUUUCAACAAUGGAUCUCUUGGUUCUG